rnacentral:rRNA from 1 species
AUUGAACGCUGGCGGCAGGCCUAACACAUGCAAGUCGAACGGUAACAGGAAACAGCUUGCUGUUUCGCUGAUGAGUGGCGGACGGGUGAGUAAUGUCUGGGAAACUGCCUGAUGGAGGGGGAUAACUACUGGAAACGGUAGCUAAUACCGCAUAACGUCGCAAGACCAAAGAGGGGGACCUUCGGGCCUCUUGCCAUCGGAUGUGCCCAGAUGGGAUUAGCUAGUAGGUGGGGUAACGGCUCACCUAGGCGACGAUCCCUAGCUGGUCUGAGAGGAUGACCAGCCACACUGGAACUGAGACACGGUCCAGACUCCUACGGGAGGCAGCAGUGGGGAAUAUUGCACAAUGGGCGCAAGCCUGAUGCAGCCAUGUCGCGUGUAUGAAGAAGGCCUUCGGGUUGUAAAGUACUUUCAGCGGGGAGGAAGGGAGUAAAGUUAAUACCUUUGCUCAUUGACGUUACCCGCAGAAGAAGCACCGGCUAACUACGUGCCAGCAGCCGCCGCAG